AGAACUCGUUCAUCGGGUCAGAACUGCCAAUCGGACGUGCGGAGAGUUUUUAUUUAUUGGCUAGCAUAAUGAAGGAUCACUGCAUCUGGAAUUGAGUCUUUCUUGAGCACGUGGCAAAGUUAUAAUGUCUUGGCUUCUAAAUUCAACUCUUAAUGGUUCAACAUCUAAUCUUGCGA